CUUGGCCUCCCAAAGUGCUGGGAUUACAGGUGUGAGCCACCGCGCCUGGCCAAAAAGCUGAUUCUUUAGUGAAAUUGGCAAACCUCUAGAAAAAGACAAAGAGAAGAUGCAAAAUUACCAGUAUCAGGACUGAAAAGAGAUAUCACAAGAGACCCCAUAGUAUAGAUAUACCAUCCUCCAUGAUAUGAUUAUUUCACAUUGUAUACCUAUAUCAAAACAUCUCAUUUAUCCCAUAAAUAGAUACACCUAGUAUGUACCCACAAAAAUUAAAAAUUAAAACAGACCCUACAGACAUCAAAAGAAUAAGGGAAUACUACCAAAAACCUUAUACAUAUAAAUUUGAUAAGACAAAAUGGACCAAUUCCUCAAAAAGCAAGUUACCACAAUUCAUGCACUAUGAAAUAGAUAAUAUGAAUAGCCCUGUAACUAUUAAAGAAGUUUAAUUCAUAAUAAUUCACAAUUUUAAGACUUCCAAAAGAGAAAUCUCCAGGCCCAGAGGUUUCACUGGAGAAUUCUACCAAACACUUAGAGAAGAAUUAACACCCAAUUUUAUACAAUCUCCUCCAGAAAACAGAAGAGGAGGAAACACUUCCUAGUUCAUUUUAUAACCUAGUAUUACUCUGAUACAAAAACUAGACAAAGAUGGUACAAACAGGAAAACUUUUUUCUUUUCAAAGAAAAUGAUCAGAGAUAAAGAGGGGAAUUACAAAAUGAUAAAGGAAUCAGUACUCUGUGAAAAUAAAAUACUAAACGUGUGCACCUAACUAUAAAGUGUCAAAAUAUGUAAGCCAAAAAUGGAUAGAACUGCAAGAUGAAUCCACUAUUAUCACUGCAGACUUUAAUAUAUCCAUUUCUCAGAAAUGGACAGAUGCAGCAGGCAGAAAAUCAGAAUAUAGUUGAAGUUAAUAGCACAAUUAACAAACUGGAUAUAACCUGACUCUACAGACUACUUCAACCAAAAAUAGCAGACAACAUUUCUUUUCAAGCUUACAUGGUGCAUUCAUCAAGACAGACCACAUUCUGGGCCAUGAAACACACCUUGACAAAUGUAAAAGGGAAAUCAUACAAUGUUCUGCUCUCUUACAAUAAUGGAAUUAAACUAGAAAUCAGUAACAGAAAGAUAGCUGGAAAAUCUCAAAACACUUGGAAAUUAAACAAAGCACUUUUAAAUAAUACAGUAGUCGAAGAAAUCUCAAGAGAAAGUUAAAAAUAUUUAGAACUUGAAGUGACACGAGUUUUUAAUAAAAAAGAGUAGAGAGAAAUAUUUGGAACUAAAUCAAAAUCAAAAUGAAGCAUCAUAAACACCUCAUUAUAUACUGGGAUUUAUUACUUCAGAGUAUUAUAUAAAUUAUUUAUUUAUUUAGAGAUGGGGUCUUACUCUGUUGCCCAGGCUGGAGUGCAGUUGUGCAAUCAUAGCUCACUGCAGCCUUGACCUUCUGGGCUUAAGUGAUCCUCCUGCUUCAACCUCCUGAGUAGCUGGGACUACAGGCGUGUGCCACUAUGUCCACCUCAUUUUUAUAUUUUUGGUAGAGAUGGGCUUUUGCCACAUUGUCCAGGCUGGUCUUGAACUCCUGGGCUCAAGUGAUCAGCCUGCCUCAGCCUCCCAAAGUGCUAGGAUUACAAGUGUGAGCCAUCACGCCUAGCCAUAAAUAUAAUUUAAAUCAAGCCAACAUUAAGUAUGACAGGGGAGCUCAUUAUUUGUGUAUUAAUAACUUUUUUUGAGACGGAGUCUCACUCUGUCACUCUGUCACCCAGGCUGGAGUGCAAUGGCGCAAUCUCAGCUCACUGCAAGCUCUGCCUCCCAGGUUCACACCAUUCUCCUGCCUUAGCCUCCUGAGCAGCUGGGACUACAGGUGCCCACCACCACAUCCAACUAAUUUUUUAUAUUUUUAGUAGAGACGGGGUUUCACCGUGUUAGCCAGGAUGGUCUCCAUCUCCUUACCUCGUGAUCCGCCCACCUCGGCCUCCCAAAGUCCUGGGAUUACAGGCGUGAGCCGCCAUGCCCGGCCAAUAAUAACUAUUAUGUAUUUUAAAAAUGUUUUUCUUCUUAUUAUUAUUUUCUAAAUCUUACCGGAAGGAUGUAUUUUGUUGUUGUUGUUGUUGUUUUGAGACAGAGUCUUGCUCUGUUGCCAGGCUGGAGUGCACCGGCGUGAUCUCAGCUCACUGCAACCUCCGCCUCCCGGGUUCAAGCAAUUCCCCUGCAUCAGCCUCCCAAGUAGCUGGGACUCCAGGUGCCUGCCACCAUGCCCAGCUAAUUUUUUGUAUUUUUAGUAGAGACAGGGUUUCACUGUGUUAUCCAGGAUGGUCUCGAACUCCUGACCUCAGGUGAUCCGCCCGCCUCGGCCUCCCAAAGUGCUGGGAUUAUAGGCGUGAGCCACCGCACCUGGCCAGGAUGUUUUUCAAAAUGUGUCAGAUUUGAAAGUGAUAAAAUUUAACUGACAUAAUACAAUUGUUCUGAGAGCCUUACCUAUUAAUUAAAGGUAAAAAUAAUUGGAGGAAAAGAAAACUCCAGAUCUAUAUUCAUCAUAAAUACAAAAACAAAAAUCUACAACAAAAUAAUAGUACAAAGAAUUCAGCAACAUACAGAAAUAAUUGUAUGCCAUGACCAAGUGGUGUUUAUUCCAGGAAUGCAAGGGUGAUUUAAUAUUUGAAAAUCAAUCAAUGUAAUCCACCACAUUAACAGGCUAAAAAAAAUCACAAAAGUAUGCGUAUUAACUAAAUUAGAAAAAGCAUUUGACAGAAGGUAAUAUCCAUUGAUGAUUAAAGCUCUCAGAAACAUAGGAAUAGAAGGGUACUUUCUCAACUUGAUAAAGAACAUGUAUUUAAAAAAUCUGCAGCUAACAUUAUAUUUGACAAUGAAAGACUGAAUGUUUUCUCCAAUGUUUACGGACUGGAAAAAUCAACACAAUAAAGAUGUCAAUUCUCUGGAAAAAACCACUUUAAAGUUCAUAUGGAACCAAAAAAGAGCCCGCAUUGCCAAGACAAUCCUAAGCAAAAAGAACAAAGCUGGAGACAUCACACUACCUGACUUCAAACUAUACUACAAGUCUAUAGUAACCAAAACAGCAUGGUACUGGUACCAAAACAGAGAUACAGACCAAUGGAACAGAACAGAGCCCUCAGAAAUAAUACCACACAUCUACAGCCAUCUGAUCUUUGACAAACCUGACAAAAACAAGAAAUGGGGAAAGGAUUCCCUAUUUAAUAAAUAGUGCUGGGAAAACUGGCUAGCCAUAUGUAGAAAGCUGAAACUGGAUCCCUUCCUUACGCCUUAUACAAAAAUUAAUUCAAGAUGGAAUAAAGACUGAAAUGUUAGACCUAAAACCAUAAAAACCCUGGAAGAAAACCUAGGCAAUACCAUUCAGGACAUAGGCAUGGGCAAGGACUUCAUGACUAAAACACCAAAAGCAAUGGCAACGAAAGCCAAAAUUGACAAAUGGGAUCUAAUUAAACUAAACUUCUGCACAGCAAAAGAAACUAUCAUCAGAAUGAACAGGGAACCUACAGAAUGGGAGAAAAUUUUUACAAUCUACUCAUCUGCCAAAGGGCUCAUAUCCAGAAUCUACAAAGAACUUAAACAAAUUUACAAGAAAAAAUCAAACAAUCCCAUCAAAAAGUGGGCAAAGGAUAUGAACAGACACUUCUCAAAAGAAGACAUUUAUGCAGCCAACAGACACAUGAAAAAAUGCUCAUCAUCACUGGCCAUCAGAGAAAUGCAAAUCAAAACCACAAUGAGAUACCAUCUCACACCAGUCAGAAUGGUGAUCAUUAAAAAAUCGAAACAACAGGUGCUGGAGAGGAUGUGGAGAAAUAGUGACAUUUUUACACUGUUGGUGGGACUGUAAACUAGUUCAACCGUUGUGGAAGACAGUGUGGUGAUUCCUCAAGGAUCUAGAACUAGAAAUAUCAUUUGACCCAGCCAUCCCAUUACUGGGUGUAUACCCAAAGGAUUAUAAAUCAUGCUGCUAUAAAGACACAUGCACACAUGUGUUUAUUGUGGUACUAUUCACAAUAGCAAACACUUGGAACCAACCCAAAUGUCCAACAACGAUAGACUGGAUUAAGAAAAUGUGGCACAUACACACUAUGGAAUACUAUGCAGCCAUAAAAAAAGAUGAGUUCAUGUCCUUUGUAGGGACAUGGAUGAAGCUGGAAACCAUCAUUCUCAGAAAACUAUCGCAAGGACAAAAAAACCAAACACCGCCUGUUCUCACUUAUAGGUGGGAAUUGAACAAUGAGAACACUUGGACACAGGAAGGGGAACAUCACACACUGGGGCCUGUCGUGGGGUGGUGGGAAGGGGGAAGGAUAGCAUUAGGAGAUACAGCUAAUGUAAAUAACAAGUUAAUGGGUGCAGCACACCAACAUGGCACAUGUAUACAUGUGUAACAAACCUGCAGGUUGUGCACAUGUACCCUAGAACUUAAAGUAUAAUAAAAAAAAGAAAAAAAGGAAAUAAAGGUGUAAACAUUGGAAAGAUUAAAAAAAAAGUCAAUUCUCCUCAAAUUGACAUACAGGUUUAAUGCAACUCCUAGCAAAACCCCUGCCAGUUUUUUUUUUGGCAGAUACAGACAAUAUUAUUGUAAAAUGUAUAUGGAAAUGCAAAAGAGCCAAAAUAAUUUCAAAGGAAAGUGGGAAGAAUCAGUCUACCCUAAUUCAAGACUUACUAAAUAAUUGCAGUAAUUAAGGACUGUGUGUUAUUGGUGGAGGCACAGACACAUGCAUCAGUGGAACAGAACAGAAAACCCAGAAACAGAUCCACCACAAAUAUAUCCCCAGCUGAUUGUUUUUGCCAAAGGUACAAAAGCGUUUCAAUGAAAGAAAGAUAGCCUUUUCAACAACUAGUGCUAACACAGUUGCCUAUCUGUACACAAAAAAAUGAACCUUGAUCUAAGUCUCCCACCUAAUUCAAAAAUUAACUCAAAUGAAUCAUGGACUUAAAUGUAAAGUGUAAAACUAUAAAACUUUUGAAAAAAUAUAAGAAAACUUUCAAGAUCUAGACCUUGGCAGACUUCUUAGACUUGACAUCAAAGACAUAAUAAGAGGACAAACUGAUAAUCUGAACUUCGUCAAAAUUAAAAAAACUUGCCCUACAAAAGCCCCUGUUAAAAGUAUAAAAAGACAAGUUAUGAACUGCGAGACAGUAUUUGCAAACCACAUAUCUGACAAAGGACAAGUACCUAGAAUACAUAAAGAACUCUCAAAACUCAACAGUAAAAAACAAUCCAAUCAGAAAAUUGGCUUAAAAGAUGAAGAGACAAUUUGCCAAAGAGGAUAUACAAAUAGUGAGUUAAAAGAUGAAGAGACAAUUUGCCAAAGAGGAUAUACAAAUAGCGAGUAAGUGCAUGAAGAGAGGUUCAACGUCAUUAGCCAUUAGGGAAAUACCAAUUAAAACCAAAGUAAAAUAACACUACGCCCCUAUCAAUUAAACAAAAAGUUGUGACACCACGAAGUCCUGGCAAAGAUGUGGAGAAACUGUAUCACUUAUGCAUCGCUGGUAGGAAUUAAAAAGUUUGGCAGUUUCUUAGAAAACUAAACCUGCAAUUACUUAAUGAGCCAGCAAUUCCAUUCCUGGCACUUUUUUUGGAGAAAUAAAGAUGUAUGUUCACACACAAACCUGUACAUAAAUGUUUAUAGCAACUUCAUUCAUAAAAGCCCAAAACUGGAAACAAUCCAGAUGUCCUUCAAAGUGUGAAUGUUUAAACAAACGGUGGUAUAUCACACUGUGGAAUAUUAACUAGCAAUAAAAAAAAAAUCAAAUUAUUGAUAUGUACAACAACCUGGAGGAAUCUCCAGAGAAUUAUGCUGAGUAAAAAAAGCCAUGCUCAAAAGUUCAUACAGUAGGAAUUCAUUUAUGUACCAUUUUGUUUUUUUGGGUUUUUUUUUUUUUUUUUUUUUUUUGACAGACUGUGUUGCUCUGUUACCCAGGCUGGAGUGCAGUGAUGCAAUCUCGGCUCACUGCAACCUCUGCCUCCUGGGUUCAAGCUAUUCCCCUCCCACAGCCUCCCAAGUAGCUGGGACUACAGGUGCCGGACAACACACCGGGCUAAUUUUUGUAUUUUUAGUGGAGAUGGGAUUUCACCAUGUUGGCCAGACUGGUUUUGAACUCAUGACCAAGUGACCCUACCCGCCUUGGCCUCUAAAAGUGCUGGGAUUACAGGCAUGAGCCAGCCUGGCCAACACGAUGAAACCUCAUCUCUACUAAAAAUACAAAAAUUAGCCAGGAGUGGUGGCGCAUGCCUAUAGUAUCAGCUACUCAGUAGGCUGAGGCACAAGAAUCGCUUGAACCCCUGAGGUAGAGGGUGCAGUGAGCUGAGACUGCGCCACUGCACUCCAGCCUGGGCGACAUCCUCACAAGCAUUCAGUGUUGUCAGUGUUCUGGAUUUUUACCUUUUUUUUUUUUUUUUUUUUUUUGAAAUGAGAGUUUCAGUCUGUUGCCCAGGCUGGAGUCCAGUGGCACGAUCUCGGCUCAUGGCAACCUCCACCUCCCAGGUUCAAGCGAUUCUCCUGCUUCAGCCUCCCAAGUAGCUGGUAUCAGAUGCAUGCACCACCAUGUCCGGCUAAUUUUUGUAUUUUUAGUAGAGACGGGCUUUUGCCAUGUUGGCCAGGCUGGUCUCAAACUCCCAACCUCAGGUGAUCCACCUGCCUCGGCCUGCCAAAGUGCUGGGAUUACAGGUGUGAGCCACCACACCCGGCAGAUUUUAAGCUAUUCUAAUAGGUGUAGUAGUUGUUUUAACUGGUAAUUCCCUAAUGACAUAUCAUGUUGCACAUCUUUUCAUAUGCUUAUUUGUCAUCUGAAUAUCUUCUUUGGAGAAAUAUCUAUUCAAAUCCUUCACCUGUUUUUAAAUUACAUUGCCUUUUUACUAUUGAGUUGUAAGAGUUCUUAUAAGUAUUCUGGACACUAGACUGUUAUAUAAAUGACUUGCAAGUAUUUUUUCCCAUUCUGAGAGCUGCCUUCACUUUCUUUCUUUUAUUUUUUUAAAGAGACAGGGUCUUGCUAUGUUGCCCAGGCUGGACCCAAACUCCUGGGCUCAAGUAGUCUUCCCACUUUAGCCUACCAAGUAGCUGGGAUUGCAGGAAUGAUUACUCCAGCUGUCUGUUCUUUAAUUUUCAUGCCACUGCACCUCAGCAGCUUUUUUCACUGUCUUGAGUGUUCUUUAAAGCACAAAUGCUUUUAAUUCAGUAAAGUUCAAGUGUUUUUUUUUUUUUUUUUUGGUUGCUUGGGCUUCUGGGACAAUGUUGAAGAAAUCACUGCCUAAUUCAAUGUCAUGAAAAUUUACACCUGUGUUUCCUUCUAAGCAUUUCAUAGUUUCAGCUCUUUAAUUUAGGUUUUCAAUCCUUUUAAAUAUAUAUAUAUAUAUUGCUGGGAAGUGAAGCCUCUCUCUAGAAGGCAGAAACAGGUACUUUCUUUUGAUCCAUUUUUAGUUAAUUUUGUACACUGUGUACCAUAGGGGUUCAUUCUUAUGCAUGAGGAUAUCCAGUUGUCCCAGCAGUAUUUGUUGAAAAAACUAUUAUUUUCCCGUUGAAUGGUCUUGGCAUCUUUGUCAAUAUCUAAACUAUUAAUUAUAUAAAUAUAUGUGUGUACUUUGGUCAUGAUAUAUUUCUUACUGUUUAAGACACUGUGCCAAAAAAAAUCUUGUAAAGGAUCCUGUAUAAAAUGUGUGAAGACCUUCAGGCAAUAGAAAGGACCACUUCAGAUGCAGAGAGAUAGACUUACUAAAGCUACUAUAGUAAUCUAGUCAAAAGAUAAUUGUGGCCUAGAUAAAGGCAGUAGUCACCAAAAAAUACACAGACUUUAGCAAUACUGAAGAGCUAAAAAUCAGCAAGAUUUGUGAUUGAUUGGAUGUGAGAAAUGGAGAGAGUGUUAUCAAGGAUGACUGUCAGCUUUCUGAAUAGAUGGAUGAUAUUAUUUACUGGGAGAAGCAACUUAGUUAAGCUACACUUAAGUCUUAUGCAGUGCAUACUAAUGACUUUUCAGGGUACUAUUUUCUACCUCCUAAAGGUAGAAAAGUGCCUCCAAUUUCUUUGUUAGGCAGAAUGCUACAUUUUUUCCUUAUCUUUCUUCCUUUGGGCUAAGGAAAAAUUAAGAAAGUAUAUGACUCCUGUAGAUGCUUUGUCUGAAAACAGUGCCCAUGAGGUAUGCACUUACAUCUAACUUCUGCCUUCCUCUCUCCCUCAGGGAUGGCUCUGCCUCCUAAACGACAGAGAUAUGGUAACCAAAAACUCUGAACUUCUUCAACUUUCUGCUUCCACUUACAAAAUGGCUUGUAUUCUCAUUCCCAUUCUUUCUUCAUGAAUUAACGGACAGGGUUCUGUCUUUCUUCCCAUUCAAGUUCUCUCUUGGUUUUCUGGAUCCCACCCAUCUUGCAUCCUCAGGGACAAAGCUGUGCUAAUAAUACCCUUUCUUACCUAUAUCUUCCUCUGUCAUUUAAGCAGCUCACCCUGUUGUGGCAGGCCAGGUUGCACUAACGCAGGCCUCCAUUACAACAUUUUCAGCACUGACUGAGUGGUUAAGUUAAAUAUUAAAAGCUAAAAAAGCCAGUGCCCUUCUACAAAGGCUGGAAUAUAACAAAAGCCCAUGGAUAGUUUUGCCUAGGCCUUUCCUGGGCCUUAAGGCAUGACAAAAUAACGGAAUUCUUAACAGGACUCAUUUAGGAUUAAACAAGUUUUAUUGGGGGUGUGAAGAAAUGCCACAGGCCUCAACUCUUUUCCUUCCCAGUUCAUAUUGCAUCUCGUUAUUGGGCCAUGAGAAAUAGCAGCCCGACCCUCAGUUUGGUCCAGGAACACUAUGAACUUCUCAGUCUUUCCCAAUUUUAUUGAAACUGUUCUCAGGGUCAACAAUGACCUCAAGCCAGGUGCAGUGGCUUGCAACUGUAAUCUUAGCUAAUCUGGAUGCUGAGGUGGGAGGAUCUCCAGGCCAAGAAUUCAAGACCGGCCUGGGCAACACAGAGAAACCCUGUCUCUAAAAAAAAAUUGUAAACAAUUAGCUGGCCACCAUGAUGACAUGGGCCUCUAGUCCCAACUACUGGAUAGGCUGAGGCAGGAGGAUUCCUUAAGUCCAGAAGUUCGAAGCUACAGUAAGCUAUGAUCACACCACUGCACUUCAGCCUAGGCAACUGAGUAAGAUCCUGUCUCUUAAAACAAACAAAAAAAUAAUGACAUCUAUAUUUUAAAAUCCUUAUACCUCUUUGAACUCUCAACAGUGAAGGUAGUGUCAACAAUUUUCAUUGUUUUAGUAGCACCUCUACCAUUAAUUUUCAAAUUUGAUUCCAUUUUCUAAUUUUCUCUCAGACUGUUAGAAAAGAGGUAAUAAUGCUACUACUAAAGCAGCUUUAAUUUUGUUUGAUAUGUAGGGGUUGUAUAAAAGAUUUCAUUUAAAAACCGUAUUUCUGCCAGGUAUGGUGGCUCAUGCCUAUAAUCCCAGCACUUUGGGAGGCCAAGGCAGGAGGCUUGCUUGAGCCCAGGAGUUUGAGACUAGCCUCUUCUUAUUAGAAGAAGAAAACAAAUGUGGGAUAUGAUGAGGUUUCUCUUAAAAUAAUCUGAUCAAUCUUUUAUUCUUUAAUUCAUAGUACCCCCCAGCUUUUCUCCUUUAUCUUUUUUCCUUUUUGCCUUUGUUAGAUGCCCAGGCACGCCACAGUACCAGCUCACAUUCCUUUCCUUAUUUGGAAAGAGGACUAACUUUCUAGCUCAUUACAGACACCCCUUCCCCUUCCUCUCCACUUUCUUUUACAUGCUCACCUUAUCUAAAAAAAUCAAAUGUUUAGCCAAAACCGGGAUUAGUUUAGAUUGUACGACCCGACCCUGGCCAAUGGGGAAAGGGUACGGGGCAGGACUUGCAUCAGGAAUAAAGGCCCUCGUGCCCCUUUGUUCAGGUGUGCUUUCAUGGUGACUGGCCAAGGAGGCACCCCUCUGCGAAGAAGUAAAAUUGCUUUGCUAAGAAUCCUUUGUUCGAGUGUUUAAUUUCCUUAGGAUUUUGAGUGUUAUUCCUAACACAAAUAGUAUCAGGGAUUUUUGUCCUAAUUAUUAUCAUGUCUCAGGGCCUCAAACAUUUACUGAGGCCAGGUGAGGUGGCUCACGCCUAUAAUCCCAGCACUUUGGGAGGCCGAGGUGGGCGGAUCAUUUGAACCCAGGAGUUUGUGAACAACCUGGGCAACAUGACAAAACCCUGUCUCUACUAAAAAUACAAAAAAUUAGCCAGGGAUGAUGGCACGUGCCUGUAGUCCCAGCUAAUCAGGAGGCUGAGGUGGGAGAAUUGCUUGGGCCUGGCAAGUCCAGGAUGUAGGACUGCCACUGCACUCCAGCCCGGGCUACAGGAGUGAGACUCUAUCUCAAAACAAACAAACAACAAAAGUAUUUAUUGAAUGAAUGAAUGGAGUUGGUAUAAAUAAUGGACAGCUAACUAUAAAAGAUUCAAAUAAUAAGUAUAUUUUACUUCAGCAUAAAAUGUCAGCAUUUUCUUAAGCUGUAAUCUCAGUGUUCAUUUUAUUUUAAUAAACAAUUCAUAUCCUAUUCUCACAGCUGUCUUACGCAGUGUCCUCCAUUAAUGCCAGAGUGAUUUGAGACAGUACUUGAUUCUGGGUGUGAGAACCAGUCAUUGCUUCAUUCUGAAAAUAACUAACAGAUUCUAAUUAGAAGACUAGAUUCUCUGCAACUCCUAAUACUUUCUGUAAUUCCUCUGAUAUAUAUUUAAAAUGUUUCAACUAUGAGAGGCUGACAAGACAUUCACUUAAAGUGGUGAAAUACAUAAACCUUUAAAAUGACUAGACUGAGCCUUGAAGUGAAAUCUAUUUUCUGCCCUAAGUGUUUCCAUUGUGUACAAUUCCCUCGGAAUGGUAGGCAGCUGCCAUUUAGAACUCUGUGAUGAAUAAAGAAAAAUCUAUAUGGAAACAGAAAUACUAUAGAAAUAUUAUACUCUCCAGGCAAAGAAAAGUGGGUGAUUGAGGCAAAUGCACCGAUAAUUUGGGGUCAGGGAGAACACUUGUCUGAAUUACACAGAAAAUGUUUUCAUAACCUUCAACUUUUUAAUCACAGAAACAUGCACUAAUAUGCAAAACAAGUGUGACAGAAUCAUGGGAUAAAAGUAUUUACUUGAAAGGUCUAAAAUAUCAUCAAAGUCUACCAUCUACCCAAUAUUUUAAUUCAUAUCAUACAAUUCCUAUCAGGAGGUUACCUAAUGAUGAGGACGUCACUGCCUCUUACGGAGCAUAUUUCAUCUUUGGGCAGCUCUGAUUAUUCUUUAAAUCUUUCACUGAACACCAGAUGGCCAUCUGAAGUGCUGUGAUACCAUACUUUAAAAAAAAUUGUUCAAGGACACAAAGUUGAUUUGAGAGAAGUUAAUGAAAUUACUACUCUCAGAGCUUCUGCUGAAAAGCACAUUUUCAUUUCUGGCCAAUCUACAGCUUUCUAAAGGGAGUCACUUGAGAAAAUGUCUUAAGGCAAAAAAAAAAAAAAAAAAAAAAAAUCCCAUGGGAGGAAUAAAUGUAUGUGUCUUCUAUAAAAAAAGUUUCCAUCGUUGUUACUUUGUGGUCACCUUGACAAGAACAGUAACCACAAGCAUUCAUUUCAUUCUUUACAUAAUUUUAUUAACUUCAGGCAUGAUGUAUAUAAGCUGCAACUAUCUAUUUAAGCAGAUCUCCAAAAAUAAAAAAUAACACAUAUACCCUUUCACCCAGAAAUUCCACUUCCUGGGAUUCAUUCUUUCUAUUUAAAUAAACCUGACCUUGAGUUAACUCUCUAGUUCUGUUCCCCUGGAAACCUAAUAAAGGUGAAUGUCGACUGUGUUACCAGGUAACAGUACCUAAGAAAAAAAGACCUCCUGAUAUGCCUCUAAACUUGGGACGACUGCAAAUCAACAUGAAUACCUGUUGGUAAGCCACAGUUUGGAUUUGGACUCCCCUGUGUGCAGUCUAUGCAAUGUUAGAACAGAAGGUCUGACCAUGGACUCAAGAGCUGACGUUAGGAAUGUCAGCACCAUCCUGCUCUCCAAGGACUCCUCAUCUUCAACAGACUCCUCAUCUUCAAAGGAAAGGGUGGAAACUGCAACUUGUGCCAUGAUCCCUGCGUGAGAAAAGUAGUAAGAAAUCCUACCCGACCAUAGAAUGUUAGAACAGAAGGUCUCACCGUGGACUCAAGAGCUGACAUGAAGAAUGUCACCACCAUCCUGCUCUCCAAGGACUCCUCAUCUUCAAUGGACUCCUCAUCUUCAACGGACUCCUCAUCUACAACGGGCAGGGUGGAAACUGCAACUUGUGCCAUGAUCCCUGCGCAAGAAAAGUAGUAAGAAAUUGAGUGGUAGAAAUCCAGUGUCCUAAACUCACAUCCAGAGCUGUGAGAGUUUUUCACAGGCUGGCUAAUUCAGAGUUUUCUUGCAUCAGAGGAAAAGUAAGACUCGGAAACUUGGUAUUCGAUUUGCCCAAAACUCUCAUUAGAUAGAGAAUCCAUCCGCUAACUUUCUAUCUAGUAUUAUUUCCAUAAAGUUAGAUCAAUAUCACUCCCAAAAUAAAUCCACGUGGCAACCA